rnacentral:ncRNA from 1 species
GACGACGAGGUUGAUAGGUUCGAGGUGGAAGUGCGGUAACGUAUGCAGCUGACGAAUACUAAUCGGUCGAGGGCUUAACCAU